rnacentral:rRNA from 1 species
GAUGAACGCUAGCGGCAGGCUUAAUACAUGCAAGUUGAGGGGCAGCAUGAUAUACGCGAGUAUAUUGAUGGCGACCGGCGGACGGGUGAGUAAUAGGUAGGAGACCUACCUCAUACAGGGGGAUAGCAUAGAGAAAUCUGUGGUAAUACCCCAUGAGGUUAUAUGAAUAGAGGCAUAUAAUCAAAGCAUAAGCGAUUAUGCGGUAUGAGAGGGGCCUACUGACCAUUAGCUAGUUGGUGAGGUAAGGGCUCACCUAGGCGAAGAUGGUUAGGGGUUUUGAGAGAGAGACCCCCCACAUUGGAACUGAGAGACGGUCCAGACUCCUACGGGAGGCAGCAGUAGGGAAUAUUGGGCAAUGGGCGAAAGCCUGACCCAGCCAUGCCGCGUGAAGGAAGACGGCCUUAUGGGUUGUAAACUUCUUUACUACGCGAAUAGAGGUUAGUACGAGAUACUAAUAGGAAGGUAGUGUAGUAAAAGCAACCGGCUAACUCCGUG